rnacentral:lncRNA from 1 species
AUGUUAAGACCUAAGGAAAGUGAAGUAGUUGACUCUGUAUGUUUUGGUGUGGGAGCGAAGAAUAGGAAGGACAAAAGCUUCAUAAAGGAUGAAGCCUCCAUAUCUGUUACUGGCAGUGCAAUUGCAUGGAGGACUCGUCAGGGGACUUAGAAGGGAAAGAAUCAGGAUUGGCAUAAACUGGUCUCAGCUGAAGGGUAGGUGAUUUCAAACCCUCUCACAUCUCUUUUUGUCUCUUUCUCCAAGUUGGGGGUCUAGCAUUAUUUCCUCCCAGUAGCUAAAUGCUGCCAUAAUGGCAUUCUUUUUCUUUGCCAAGCUAACUUGUUGCUCUAUCCCUGGUGAAGGAAUCUACCCUGCCUCCCAAACUGUUAUGGACAUUUUAGACAAAUGGACACUUUAGAAGGGCUGAGGACUCUGAAAUAAUUGAAGGUUGUGCCUUGGUCCAGACAAAGAAACAGCCAGUUUUCUCCAGCCUCCUUUGUUAAUGUUCAAAUCCAUGAUGGAAUAUGCACUUUUGAGAGCAUAUGUACUAAAAAAUGUUGGGAAAGAUUAUUUUUUAACACUGGAACUUGAGUCUUUGUGAAUGCUUGGAAAGAGGUCUUUUCCUAACCUGCAUCUUGAGAUGAAGAAACUGCAAUCCCCAGAGGCUUUGUUUCCUCUCUUCUCUAGAAAGCUAUGGAACCAUGGGUGCAGAUGAAGGAGACCUGGUGGCUGUAUUUGGGACCAUACAAGGAAACUGAAGCUCAUAGGCUGAGUGAACAGAUUGUUUUGGGGUAGGUAAUACAUGAUUUUUCCUUCUGAAAGAUUAGUGUGAGAGCCAGGAUUCCCUUGGAAUAAAAGAUGAGUUAGCUAUUAUCAAAGCUUAGUACAUUCCCCCAACUGUCUACCACUUCUCUUACCCUUCAUCUCCAUCCAUUCCUUCCACAAAUUCCUAUUUUUUGAUAGAUACUGUGCUGAGAUAUGAUGAUACAAGCAGUCUUUGCCUCCAGGGCGCUUCCAGUUUUGUAGAGGACCCAGUGCACAAACAAUACAGGGAGGCAAGUGCUAUGGUGUAAGUGUGGACAAAUCCAGGAGGAUUCAGAAGGUGUUUUGACUCAAAGGAGGAAAUGCUUAUUUCUGUUUUUCUCCUUCUCUAAAGGAGAGCAAGGAAGGGUUUCAGAGAGGAAGAAACUCUUAGAGUGGAGCCUGAAGGAUAAAGGCUAUGCUUUUCCCAUUCUCUUGUGAGAUCAGAAGGUAAUAAAAUUCUGCCCUCAUAACCCAUUUGGCAAACAGUUAUUCAAGUUUCUCCUCAUUUUCUCCUUGCCUCUUGGUUAUUUCAUUGCUCUUUAGUGCUGCCAUUUAAGGGAUAAGUAGAAGUGAGAUUUAUUUAUGUUGCUUUUGCUCAGAAGUGAGGGAAAACAAACUGAUGGAGGAAAGAUUUAAAAAAUAUAACAUAAAAUUUUUAUUAAGCCAGAAUUGCUUUGCUUAAUUGAUUUUUAUUAAUCAAAAAUUAUUUCCUAAUUUUUAUACUGGUGAAAUAUUACAGCUUUGCAAAUAUUAAUAAAUCAAAAGUGAAAACCCC